rnacentral:lncRNA from 1 species
UUCUUUUGUUCAUAAUUCAAUUCAUUCCCAAACGCAAUGUUCAUUCAAUUCUCCUGUGUCUUCUUCGUCUUCUUCAUCUUCUUCGUCCCACAAAUCCCAAAUCGUUAGACUUCGAAAUCCCAAAUCAUAGCAUAAAACUCUUUGAAAUCUCUAAAUCCCAAAUCCCUAAAUCCCAAAUCACAGCAAACACAUAAAAUUCUUCUCUUUGAAACCCUAAAUCCCUAAAUCGUCUUUCACUGUAAGUCAAUUUAGAGUCUUCUAAACCUCCCGAACAAACCGAUUUCUCCUCCCUCCCUUACGACGUUCUCAACAAAAUCGCAUCCUCCAAUCAGCUUCUAUGGUAUGUCGGUCAUGGU